rnacentral:rRNA from 1 species
GAUGAACGCUGGCGGCGUGCCUAAUACAUGCAAGUCGAGCGAACGGACGAGAAGCUUGCUUCUCUGAUGUUAGCGGCGGACGGGUGGGUAACACGUGGAUAACCUACCUAUAAGACUGGGAUAACUUCGGGAAACCGGAGCUAAUACCGGAUAAUAUUUUGAACCGCAUGGUUCAAAAGUGAAAGACGGUCUUGCUGUCACUUAUAGAUGGAUCCGCGCUGCAUUAGCUAGUUGGUAAGGUAACGGCUUACCAAGGCAACGAUGCAUAGCCGACCUGAGAGGGUGAUCGGCCACACUGGAACUGAGACACGGUCCAGACUCCUACGGGAGGCAGCAGCAGGGAAUCUUCCGCAAUGGGCGAAAGCCUGACGGAGCAACGCCGCGUGAGUGAUGAAGGUCUUCGGAUCGUAAAACUCUGUUAUUAGGGAAGAACAUAUGUGUAAGUAACUGUGCACAUCUUGACGGUACCUAAUCAGAAAGCCACGGCUAACUACGU